rnacentral:rRNA from 1 species
CUGCAAGUCGAGCGGACAGAUGGGAGCUUGCUCCCUGAUGUUAGCGGCGGACGGGUGAGUAACACGUGGGUAACCUGCCUGUAAGACUGGGAUAACUCCGGGAAACCGGGGCUAAUACCGGAUGGUUGUUUGAACCGCAUGGUUCAAACAUAAAAGGUGGCUUCGGCUACCACUUACAGAUGGACCCGCGGCGCAUUAGCUAGUUGGUGAGGUAACGGCUCACCAAGGCGACGAUGCGUAGCCGACCUGAGAGGGUGAUCGGCCACACUGGGACUGAGACACGGCCCAGACUCCUACGGGAGGCAGCAGUAGGGAAUCUUCCGCAAUGGACGAAAGUCUGACGGAGCAACGC